GGCCCCAUCGUCUAGAGGCCUAGGACACCUGGUUUUCAUCCAGGCAACCCGAGUUCGAAUCUCGGUGGGGUCA
rnacentral:tRNA from 1 species